AACGAACGCUGGCGGCAGGCCUAACACAUGCAAGUCGAACGCCCCGCAAGGGGAGUGGCAGACGGGUGAGUAACACGUGGGAACGUACCCUUUGGUUCGGAACAACUCCGGGAAACUGGAGCUAAUACCGGAUAAGCCCUUUGGGGGAAAGAUUUAUCGCCGAAGGAUCGGCCCGCGUCGGAUUAGCUAGUUGGUGGGGUAAAAGCCUACCAAGGCGACGAUCCGUAGCUGGUCUGAGAGGAUGACCAGCCACACUGGGACUGAGACACGGCCCAGACUCCUACGGGAGGCAGCAGUGGGGAAUAUUGGACAAUGGGCGCAAGCCUGAUCCAGCCAUGCCGCGUGAGUGAUGAAGGCCUUAGGGUUGUAAAGCUCUUUCGCCAGGGACGAUAAUGACGGUACCUGGAUAAGAAGCCCCGGCUAACUUCGUGCCAGCCGCCGCUGUAAAAC
rnacentral:rRNA from 1 species